AUGAAAAUUCUAUCAAUUGGCUUACUGCUUAUUGUGUUACCAGGAAUUGUUUUAUCAAAACACCACGAAUCUAUACUGUCAUCUAUUUUAAAACCAUUAGAUUUUUCAUUUCAUUUACAUAUUACCUCUGACGAAAAUCAACCAAAAAAUGACAUCCUUCAUGAGUUAGGAGACUUCUUCAAAGGAAAAAGAACUGGAUCCUAUAGACCCCACACUAACAGCGGUGAUAAUGAACCAAAGAAUGACGUCCUUCACGAAUUAGGAGACUACUUCAAAGGCAAACGAGAUGAAAAUGAUUAUUUUUAUUAUUUUGAUGAAUAUUAAAAGACAGCUUUUCUCAACUGGUCCUGAGUAACGCACAAUAA